UUUACCUUUCUCUAUUUUCUGCUUUAGGGCUUCUCUGCUUUCCUCGGUUGGGUUUUCCUCGGUCAUCGUCGUUGUGUGCCUUUAUUUCUCUGGAUUUCUUCCUUUUUGUUUAAUGAUUUUUUUUUCUGGCGAGGCACGAUCUUGAUUUUUUGCGAUCAUUGUUUGCUGUUCUACUCUGUUUUUGGCUGCGAUCUGUGGGUUGCAUCGAUUUUGUUUCAAGCCUCUCUUUUGAGAGGAUCGGUGCAUAUUAAGAUUUUCGCUCGAAUUUGGGUGAUCUCUCUUUUGAGAGAAUCGGUGCAUGUUGAGCUUUUCCAAAUGCACAUAGCCUUUUAAAAAUACUGCUACCCUCUACAAAACAAGCCAGUAAAGCUCAAAUAUUGCAGACAGCAAAGAAGGUAGCAAUUGAAGAGUUGGCUUUUUUAGAUCCAAAUUUGUACAAGAUCAUCAAAAAUGUGGUUAUCAACUUUCUCCUGUCCCUUCUGCUGCACAAAGAACAUGGAAUCUUACUUUUGAACAGAUGUUACUUUCGCAUCUCUAAUCUAUAUGCAUCAACAACGUUUCUCUUAUUUUUUGGUAUGUAAAUAACUCUCUCUAAUCUAGGUUAGACAAUAUUUUUUGCAUGCAAUAGCCCAACAUUUCUAAUAUUUUGUAUGUAAAUGCCAGUCCUGAUCUGUUAUCUAGGUUGAACAAAUUUUUUUGCAUGUACAUAGGCCACCAUUUUCCAAUGCUCUGUCUAAAUGCUGGCAAAAAUGUGUAAUCUAGGUUUGACCAAUAUUUUAUGCAUGUACAUAGUCCAGCAUUUUCUAAUCUUUUGAGUACAAAUGCUGGUCCCAGAUGAAAAUUGGGUGAAAACAAUGAACCGCAGUGAAUGAUUACAGUGUUUUGUAUAUCUAAAUUUAUCUUAUUGUUUUCUUUGAUUA